rnacentral:rRNA from 1 species
AUUGAACGCUGGCGGCAGGCUUAACACAUGCAAGUCGAGCGGGGGAAGGUAGCUUGCUACCGGACCUAGCGGCGGACGGGAGAGUAAUGCUUAGGAAUCUGCCUAUUAGUGGGGGACAACAUCUCGAAAGGGAUGCUAAUACCGCAUACGUCCUACGGGAGAAAGCAGGGGAUCUUCGGACCUUGCGCUAAUAGAUGAGCCUAAGUCGGAUUAGCUAGCUGGUGGGGUAAAGGCCUACCAAGGCGACGAUCUGUAGCGGGUCUGAGAGGAUGAUCCGCCACACUGGGACUGAGACACGGCCCAGACUCCUACGGGAGGCAGCAGUGGGGAAUAUUGGACAAUGGGGGGAACCCUGAUCCAGCCAUGCCGCGUGUGUGAAGAAGGCCUAUGGUUGUAAAGCACUUUAAGCGAGGAGGAGGCUACUCUAGUUAAUACCUAGGGAUAGUGGACGUUACUCGCAGAAUAAGCACCGGCUAACUCUGUGCCAGCCGCCGCCGUAA